rnacentral:rRNA from 1 species
GCCCAAUAGCUCGCCUCCACCCCUAAAUUCAAUAAUCCAUAUUAAUAACCCCAAAUUUUCUGAUUUUAUUCAUUAAAUCAUUCUUCCUCCCCAGUAAGUGCGACAGAACAGGAAAAUGAGAGCGCUAU